rnacentral:rRNA from 1 species
AGGGAAUAUUGCAAAAUGGGCGAAAGCCCGAUGCAGCAACGCCGCGUGGGCGAUGAAGGCCUUCGGGUCGUAAAGCCCUUUUUGAGGGGAUGAGGAAGGACAGUACCCUCAGAAUAAGCCUCGGCUAACUACGUGCCAGCAGCCGCGGUAAAACGUAGGAGGCGAGCGUUAUCCGGAUUUACUGGGCGUAAAGCGCGUGCAGGCUGAUUGGAGAGUUGGAUGUGAAAGCUCCCGGCUUAACUGGGAGAGGUCGUUCAAUACUUCCAGUCUUGAGUGCAGUAGAGGGAAGUGGAAUUCCGGGUGUAGUGGUGAAAUGCGUAGAUAUCCGGAGGAACACCAGUGGCGAAGGCGGCUUCCUGGACUGUAACUGACGCUCAGACGCGAAAGCUAGGGUAGCAAACG